ACGGAAGGCCGCAGUGAGGACUAUUGGUCAAUGGAGGCAACUCUGAACCAGCCAUCUCGCGUGAAGGAAUACGGCCCUACGGGUCUUAAACUUCUUUUAUAGGGGGAUAAAGUGAGGCAUGCAUGCCUUUUUGUAGGUACCCUAUGAAUAAGCAUCGGCUAACUCCGUUCCAGCAGCCGCGGUAAUACGGAGGAUGCGAGCGUUAUCCGGAUUUAUUGGGUUUAAAGGGUGCGCAGGCGGCACGUUAAGUCAGCGGUGAAAUGCAGGGGCUCAACCCCGGCACUGCCGUUGAAACUGGCGAGCUAGAGUACGGAUGAAGUCGGCGGAAUGUGAUGUGUAGCGGUGAAAUGCUUAGAUAUGUCACAGAACACCGAUUGCGAAGGCAGCUGACUAAUCCGCAACGGACGCUCAGGAACGAAAGCGUGGGGAUCGAACAGGAUUAGAUA
rnacentral:rRNA from 1 species